AUUAGCGGCGGACGGGUGAGUAACACGUGAGUAACCUGCCUUAGACAUUGGGAUAGCCUCGGGAAACCGGGAUUAAUACCAAAUGAAAUCAUAGGUGCCCAUGCACUAAUGAUCAAAACUCCGGUGGUCUAAGAUGGACUCGCGUCCCAUUAGCUAGUUGGUGAGGUAACGGCCCACCAAGGCGACGAUGGGUAGCCGGCCUGAGAGGGUGAACGGCCACAUUGGAACUGAGAAACGGUCCAA
rnacentral:rRNA from 1 species